GGCUUCAGGCCUAACACAUGCAAGUCGAACGGUAACAGGGAAGAGCUUGCUUUUCCGCUGACGAGUGGCGCACGGGUGCGUAACGCGUAUGCAAUCUACCUUGUACAGGGGGAUAGCCUUUAGAAAUGAAGAUUAAUACCCCAUGGUAUCUAGGGUUCGCAUGAACACUAGAUUAAAAUUUCGGUGGUACAAGAUGAGCAUGCGUCCUAUUAGCUAGUAGGUAUGGUAACGGCAUACCUAGGCGACGAUAGGUAGGGGCCCUGAGAGGGGGAUCCCCCACACUGGUACUGAGACACGGACCAGACUCCUACGGGAGGCAGCAGUGAGGAAUAUUGGACAAUGGGCGGAAGCCUGAUCCAGCCAUGCCGCGUGCAGGAAGACUGCCCUAUGGGUUGUAAACUGCUUUUGUACGGGAAGAAACCCGCCUACGUGUAGGCGGCUGACGGUACCGUAAGAAUAAGCAUCGGCUAACUCCGUGCCAGCAGCCGCGGUAAUACGGAGGAUGCAAGCGUUAUCCGGAAUCAUUGGGUUUAAAGGGUCCGUAGGUGGAUUGGUAAGUCAGAGGUGAAAGCCUGCAGCUCAACUGUAGAACUGCCUUUG
rnacentral:rRNA from 1 species